UGGGGAGGGCCGGGGACGCCGUGUUUCGCAGCGAACCUCGCUAGACUUCCUCAUGGGCGCAGGGCUCAGCUAAGCCAGGAGGGUUCAAGCGCAGGGAGUGGAGAAACUGGAGAAGACAGACAUGGCGCCCCAGCCUUGCUCCCCCACGUUGUCAUGGCACCUGUGAUGUCAACAACCGGACCGGAAGCCAGCCAAGGACCCCAGAGGUCUUGGCCCAAUUGCGGGCUUGAUGACCGGUCACCUUCCAGCCAUGUGAACUUGGCAGGUCUCUGAGCCUGUUUCCUUGGCUGUAACCCUCGUGUGGUUCUCAUGAUGAAAUCCUGGCAUCAGCAGCAUCAGCACCCAUGGGGAACUGGUGACCGAUGCUUGCUCAAGUGUGACGAUUACUGGGAUAGAGAGAGGCUGAAACCGAUGGAGGUGCGCAAAGCCCCAGCACAACCCCGCAGUUGCUUGCAGCCUUCCCCGCCUCCGUGACUGGCAACUGCAUUCUUCCUGCAGACAAAAGGCCCAGAGUCCUCCCGGAUCAGGGUUCUCCAAACCCAAGCCUGCGGCGGAACCUUUGGUUCUCAUUAGGAGGUUAAAAACUUCUUGUUAUAAAAUAAAUACAUCACGGGGACGUAAAGCGCAGCGUAGGAAUCUAGUCCAUAAUAGUGUCAUAAUGCCGUGCAGUGACAGAUGGUAAGUGGUCUUACGGUGAGCGGUUCGUAACGUGUAUAAAUGUCGGAUCACGACGCAUACACCUGAAACUCACAUAAUAUUGUGUGUCGACGAGACUUCAAUUAAAAAACACGUGUCUAAGGGUGCCCCUUGCUCACGCCUCCUCCACUCCCGAGGCACCAGCCUCCACCGUCCUGCACUUGCUGUAAUAACUUUCCAGCCACCUCUGCCCUCGCCCCUGCAGCACCUCCUCACCCCUGCAGCCAGAGGAGCCUCUUAAAAAUGAAAUCAGAUUAUUCUAUUCCUCUGCUCAGAACCUCCGACGAUUCCCAUCUCAC